UACGUAGGGUCCAAGCGUUAUCCGGAAUCACUGGGCGUAAAGCGUGCGUAGGUGGCGCGUUAAGUGAGAUGUUAAAUCGUGUGGCUCAACCAUAUCGAUGUAUCUCAUACUGGCGUGCUAGAGGACAGCAGAGGCAAGUGGAAUUUGUAGUGUAGCAGUGAAAUGCGUAGAUAUUACAAGGAACACCAAUGGCGAAGGCAGCUCUCUGGGACGGUACUGACGCUGAGACGCGAAAGCGUGGGGAGCGAACAGG
rnacentral:rRNA from 1 species